rnacentral:rRNA from 1 species
GAUGAACGCUGGCGGCGUGCCUAAUACAUGCAAGUCGAGCGAACAGACGAGGAGCUUGCUCCUCUGACGUUAGCGGCGGACGGGUGAGUAACACGUGGAUAACCUACCUAUAAGACUGGGAUAACUUCGGGAAACCGGAUCUAAUACCGGAUAAUAUAUUGAACCGCAUGGUUCAAUAGUGAAAGACGGUUUUGCUGUCACUUAUAGAUGGAUCCGCGCCGCAUUAGCUAGUUGGUAAGGUAACGGCUUACCAAGGCGACGAUGCGUAGCCGACCUGAGAGGGUGAUCGGCCACACUGGAACUGAGACACGGUCCAGACUCCUACGGGAGGCAGCAGUAGGGAAUCUUCUGCAAAGGGCGAAAGCCUGACGGAGCAACGCCGCGUGAGUGAUGAAGGUCUUCGGAUCGUAAAACUCUGUUAUUAGGGAAGAACAAAUGUGUAAGUAACUAUGCACGUCUUGACGGUACCUAAUCAGAAAGCCACGGCUAACUACGUG